ACAGGUGGUGCAUGGUUGUCGUCAGGCUCGUGUCGUGAGAUGUUGGGUUAAGUCCCGCAACGAGCGCAACCCCUACGUUUAGUUGCUAACAGGUGAAGCUGAGCACUCUAGACGAACUGCCGUUGACAAAACGGAGGAAGGUGGGAUGACGUCAAAUCAUCAUGCCCCUUAUGUUCUGGGCUACACACGUGCUACAAUGGCCGGUACAGACGGAGGCGAAGCCGCGAGGCGGAGCAAAUCCGAAAAAGCCGGUCUCAGUUCGGAUUGCAGGCUGCAAUUCGCCUGCAUGAAGUCGGAAUCGCUAGUAAUCGCAGGUCAGCAUACUCGCGGUCGAAUACGUUCCCGGGCCUU
rnacentral:rRNA from 1 species